GAACGCUGGCGGCAGGCCUAACACAUGCAAGUCGAACGAACUCUUCGGAGUUAGUGGCGGACGGGUGAGUAACACGUGGGAACGUGCCUUUUGGUUCGGAAUAACUCAGGGAAACUUGUGCUAAUACCGAAUGUGCCCUUCGGGGGAAAGAUUUAUCGCCAUUAGAGCGGCCCGCGUCUGAUUAGCUAGUUGGUGAGGUAACGGCUCACCAAGGCGACGAUCAGUAGCUGGUCUGAGAGGAUGACCAGCCACACUGGGACUGAGACACGGCCCAGACUCCUACGGGAGGCAGCAGUGGGGAAUCUUGCGCAAUGGGCGAAAGCCUGACGCAGCCAUGCCGCGUGAAUGAUGAAGGUCUUAGGAUUGUAAAAUUCUUUCACCGGGGACGAUAAUGACGGUACCCGGAGAAGAAGCCCCGGCUAACUUCGUG
rnacentral:rRNA from 1 species